rnacentral:rRNA from 1 species
AUUGAACGCUGGCGGCAGGCUUAACACAUGCAAGUCGAGCGGAGCGAGGGUGCUUGCACCUUAGCUUAGCGGCGGACGGGUGAGUAAUGCUUAGGAAUCUGCCUAUUAGUGGGGGACAACAUUCCGAAAGGAAUGCUAAUACCGCAUACGCCCUGCGGGGGAAAGCAGGGGAUCUUCGGACCUUGCGCGAAUAGAUGAGCCUAAGUCGGAUUAGCUAGUUGGUGGGGUAAAGGCCUACCAAGGCGACGAUCUGUAGCGGGUCUGAGAGGAUGAUCCGCCACACUGGGACUGAGACACGGCCCAGACUCCUACGGGAGGCAGCAGUGGGGAAUAUUGGACAAUGGGGGGAACCCUGAUCCAGCCAUGCCGCGUGUGUGAAGAAGGCCUUUUGGUUGUAAAGCACUUUAAGCGAGGAGGAGGCUACUAGUAUUAAUACUACUGGAUAGUGGACGUUACUCGCAGAAUAAGCACCGGCUAACUCUGUGCCAGCCGCCGCAGUAAAAC